rnacentral:tRNA from 1 species
GGGAUUGUGGCUCAGUGGCAGAGUGCUUGCCUAGCAUGUAUGAGGCACUGGGUUUGAUUCCCAGCACUA